rnacentral:rRNA from 1 species
CCUACGGGUGGCAGCAGUGAGGAAUAUUGGUCAAUGGCCGAGAGGCUGAACCAGCCAAGUCGCGUGAGGGAAGACGGCCCUACGGGUUGUAAACUUCUUUUGUGCGGGAGCAAUAAUGGUCACGUGUGGCCAGACGAGAGUACCGUACGAAUAAGCAUCGGCUAACUCCGUGCCAGCAGCCGCGGUAAUACGGGGGAUGCAAGCGUUAUCCGGAUUUAUUGGGUUUAAAGGGUGCGUAGGCUGUGAGGUAAGUCAGCGGUGAAAUGCCCCCGCUCAACGGGGUGAAGUGCCAUUAAUACUGCCUGGCUGGAAUGCGGAUGACGUGGGAGGAAUGUGUGGUGUAGCGGUGAAAUGCAUAGAUAUCACACAGAACACCGAUUGCGAAGGCAUCUCACGAAUCCGCGAUUGACGCUGAUGCACGAAAGCGUGGGUAUCAAACAGGAUUAGAUACCCUAGUAGUC